UUGGCCUCGAAUCAAGACUAGCAGUUUGCUGAAGCGGUUGGCUUCAUGCUGAGGCCUAAAGACUGUCUUUCUGUUUAGAAUUUCCACUGCAGAAAUUCUAAAAUGUUAUGUUUGACUCAUUAGAAAAAAGCAUCU